AUUGAAUGAUGAUACCCUACUAACUUGGCAGUCAGUAAUUGGUCCUUUGGUUGCAUAUGAUGUAGUAAUUGUUACAAAAGAUGAGAGGGAUAGGAAA
ensembl:snoRNA SNORD21 Small nucleolar RNA SNORD21